rnacentral:rRNA from 1 species
CGGAUUGUAGUCUGCAACCCGACUACAUGAAGCUGGAAUCGCUAGUAAUCGCGGAUCAGAAUGCCGCGGUGAAUACGUUCCCGAGCCUUGUACACACCGCCCGUCACACCAUGGGAGUCGGAAAUGCCCGAAGUCUGUGACCCAACCUUAGGGAGGGAGCAGCCGAAGGCAGGUCGGAUGACUGGGGUGAAGUCGUAACAAGGUACC